UUGAAGAUCAGCCUUAUUCCAUGGUGAUC
rnacentral:piRNA from 1 species